GAAGCCUUCUUUCCUUCUCCGCUAGCUAGACCCCAAUUAAGCAAUUGCAGCUCCCAUUCUGGUUCUUCUCCCCCGAUCAGCAACAUUCUUUUCCUUUCCCAAUUAUGGUUCUUCUCUCCCCGAUCUAGGUUUUUUACACAAAAGAGUCUCAUCAAUCAACCUCUCCCCGAUCUAGGUCAAGAAGACACUGUUGGUGGAGUUCUUUGAUCCGAUUUUACAAAGUAUAUUGUUGUUGCACGGAUUUCUGGUCAAGGAGAGGAGUGAAGGAGAAAUGGGUUCUGCACUCAGAUGAGUUUUUAGCCUCUCCAAAGUCGGAAACGUUAAAGAUCUUGCAAGAUUAGGUUGUGGUCAAUUGUUAUAAAGAUGGGUAAGAGAUGAUCAGUCUUCAGUAAUAGUCAAAUUGUAUUACCUGCAAUUCGGAAGUGCAAGACUUGGUGUUUGGAUAUAGGGGCAGGAGUUCUUGCUUCAUGCGAGUGACUGAAAUAGAGUUGGGUCUUAUUCGAGUCCAGGGAUUUGCUGCUGGGUUUAUGGAUUUGGUUAUGGUUUGUUCUUCAAAUCGAUUUGAUUGUUAUUUGGGUUCAGGAAUUUGGGGAUGGUUUGUUCUUGAAGUCGAUUUAGGUGUUAUUUGGCUUUAGAUUUACUGUUGGGUUUAUUAUUUAUAUAAACCUUAGUUUAUUCUAUUAGCUAAUAAGUUUCCAACUUCAGUUCAUCAUCCGAAGUAACUUGCAGAUUAGAUUUUCAUGAGUCAUUCAUUUAUUGCUUGUCAUUGGAAUCAUAAUCUGAUUAUUUGAGAUUGAAUAUAUGAACUUUUAAGUUUUUUGUUCUUUUGACAUGCAUAAGCUUCUCAUAGGCACUGCUGAUAGAGGCAUUAAAGCAUGGAAUGUCGAUGCAAAGAGAGUUGUCUGUGACUUUCAGACAAGUGCAGAAUUUCCAAGUGUGUUGGAUAUAAAAUGCAGCCUUGUAGAGCCAAUUUUUGUUUCUGCUGCAGCAUCCAAGGGGUAUGCUCUUUUUCUGAUCUCAUCUUACCACUGUUUUUGCCUAAAGUGCUCUAUUCAACUUAGUAAAAUAUGAGCCUGUGGUGUUGAAAUGAAAUAGUAUGGUCACUGGAAGAUUCUACUUACAAUUCAUGUCCAUUUAUAUGUGUGUUUAUGUUUGUCUUUGGGUGAUAUAUAUAUAUAUAUAUAUAU